AUAAAGGAUCUUAUAGGAUCCACAUCCGUCAAACCAUUAAAAUAAUU
rfam:Cephalotus follicularis DNA, scaffold: scaffold446, isolate: St1.